GACGAACGCUGGCGGCGUGCUUAACACAUGCAAGUCGAACGGUAAGGCCCUUUCGGGGGUACACGAGUGGCGAACGGGGGAGUAACACGUGAGGAAUCUGCCCUUGACUCUGGGAUAGAAGUGGGAAACUUCUGCUAAUACCGGAUAUUCAGAUUCUGCUGCAUGGGGGGGUUCGGAAAGCUUUUGUGGUCAAGGAUGGUCAUGCGGUGUAUCCGCUUGUUGGUGAGGUAAUGGCUUACCAAGGCUUCGACGGGUAGCCGGCCUGGGAGGGCGACCGGCCACAUUGGGACUGAGAUACGGCCCAGACUCCUACGGGAGGCAGCAGUGGAGAAUAUUGCACAAUGGCCGAAAGCCUGAUGCAGCAACGCCGCGUGCGGGAUGACGGCCUUCGGGUUGUAAACCGCUUUCAGUAGGGACGAAGCGCAAGUGACGGUACCUACAGAAGAAGCACCGGCUAACUACGUGCCAGCAGCCGCCGUAAAAC
rnacentral:rRNA from 1 species